GCCAGCCAGGAAGGAGGAGGCAGCCAGAGAGGCCUCCACUGUUCUCUGCAGCAGAAGACCCCCUGCUGCCAGGCACACUAACAAAGAGAUACAGUAGAUCAUGGAGAAAUCAUCGGACAAAAUUCUUUAGUGUUUCUCCUUGAGGCAACCCUGAAAUUCUCCUUCAGAUUUCACUCUGAAGAAAUUUUGAUUCCUACCCUAGGUUCAUCAAUUUGAAUGAAGAACUUCAAGCUAAUUACAUUCAUGUCCAUGCAAAAAGAACUCAUGUUCUGAUUUAGCUCUAAUUGCAACAAUAGGAACUGAAAUAACUGCAACAAUAAUGUAAUAUUCUCUGACAAUAAAAACUGGCAAACCUUUUAAUGAACAGUUGCAGUCCAAGGUACUGAUAUUUUACUUAUAUAUGAUUACUUGAUUCAUUUUUUAUAAAAGUUAUAUAA